rnacentral:rRNA from 1 species
UGAAGCACGUACGCCAGUAUGUGUGGAGCCGUCCUUGAAAUACCACCCUUGUAGUGUUGAUGUUCUAACGUCGACCCCUUAUCGGGGUUGCGGACAGUGCCUGGUGGGUAGUUUGACUGGGGCGGUCUCCUCCCAAAGAGUAACGGAGGAGCACGAAGGUGGGCUAAUCACGGUUGGACAUCGUGAGGUUAGUGCAAUGGCAUAAGCCCGCUUGACUGCGAGAAUGACAAUUCGAGCAGGUGCGAAAGCAGGUCAUAGUGAUCCGGUGGUUCUGAAUGGAAGGGCCAUCGCUCAACGGAUAAAAGGUACUCCGGGGAUAACAGGCUGAUACCGCCCAAGAGUUCAUAUCGACGGCGGUGUUUGGCACCUCGAUGUCGGCUCAUCACAUCCUGGGGCUGAAGUCGGUCCCAAGGGUAUGGCUGUUCGCCAUUUAAAGUGGUACGCGAGCUGGGUUUAGAACGUCGUGAGACAGUUCGGUCCCUAUCUGCCGUGGGCGUUGGAAGAUUGAAGGGGGCUGCUCCUAGUACGAGAGGACCGGAGUGGACGAACCUCUGGUGUUCGGGUUGUGUCGCCAGACGCAUUGCCCGGUAGCUAAGUUCGGAAUCGAUAACCGCUGAAAGCAUCUAAGCGGGAAGCGAGCCCUGAGAUGAGUCUUCCCUGAUACUUUAAGUAUCCUAAAGGGUUGUCGGAGACUACGACGUUGAUAGGUCAGGUGUGUAAGUGCUGUGAGGCAUUGAGCUAACUGAUACUAAUUGCCCGUGAGGCUUAACCAUACAACACC